CGCCCUCUAGAGACCGGCCUGAGGCGAGCGAGGGUCCAGGCGAUAUCCAUGCAAAUAUUACUUGUGACCUGGCCUGGUCCUUUAGGAGUAUGAAUUGUCUCUGAGUGCAGGAGCAGACUGGAGUUUGAAUUGGGACUAUCAUAUAAGCUGGGUCUGAGCCCCAAUGUCACCUGAAUGAAGCAAAAAGAACUUCAAGAAUCCUGGGAUGUCAUGCACACAAGCCUGUCAAUUCUUCUCUUGUAUACCCUACCGGAUGUGGUUCCUGUGUCCUCGCAAGUAUCUCGGCAAUAAUAUACCCAGAAUCCUCUGCAUGUGUAACAGCUCUUGUCUUAUUCACAUGCUGUCUCCCCUCAGCAAACUCGGAGCUCCUGAAUCUCUCUCUAAUCUCCUUAUAGUCCAGUGCCUAGCACACGUCUUGGCAGAGUAUAUGCUAAACAAAUGUUUAGGAUUUGAAGGAACACACUGUUCAGUGGUGUUCACUCAGGUCCCCUGACAUAAGACUUUAUGUAUAUGGAGACACCUGCGUGGCUCAGUUGGUUAACCGUCUGCCUUCAGCUCAGGUC